rnacentral:rRNA from 1 species
AUUGAACGCUGGCGGCAGGCCUAACACAUGCAAGUCGAGCGGAUGAGAGGAGCUUGCUUCUCGAUUCAGCGGCGGACGGGUGAGUAAUGCCUAGGAAUCUGCCUGGUAGUGGGGGACAACGUUUCGAAAGGAACGCUAAUACAGCAUACGUCCUACGGGAGAAAGCAGGGGACCUUCGGGCCUUGCGCUAUCAGAUGAGCCUAGGUCGGAUUAGCUAGUUGGUGAGGUAAUGGCUCACCAAGGCGACGAUCCGUAACUGGUCUGAGAGGAUGAUCAUUCACACUGGAACUGAGACACGGUCCAGACUCCUACGGGAGGCAGCAGUGGGGAAUAUUGGACAAUGGGCGAAAGCCUGAUCCAGCCAUGCCGCGUGUGUGAAGAAGGUCUUCGGAUUGUAAAGCACUUUAAGUUGGGAGGAAGGGUUGUAGAUUAAUACUCUGCAAUUUUGACGUUACCGACAGAAUAAGCACCGGCUAACUCUGUGCCAGCAGCCGCAGUAACAC